AUGAAGGGUGCUGCGAGGGACGAGCACAAGAAGCCGGCAGAGGAGGAGAACAAUACUCCGGCGUGGGAGGAUGUGGAUCCGGCGAGAAAGCAGGUCCAAGCGCGCUCUAUUGAUGCGGGAGAGGUGCAGCAGCUGUAUGGUGCCGCUGAGAAGAUCCACCCUGGGGUUGAUGCACAGCCGGAAGGCGAGGACUGCGACGACCACAAAAAGAAGGGGCAGGUCUUCUAUCCUUCAGACCGGGUACCGACCACUAAAAUUGACGAUGAAGAUUGCUUGGCAAGAUGA
rnacentral:rRNA from 1 species